rnacentral:tRNA from 1 species
GCCGCGGUGGCGAAAUUGGUAGACGCGCUAGCUUCAGGUGCUAGUUCUCGCAAGGGAUUGGGAGUUCGAUUCUCCCCCGCGGCA